CCUACGGGAGGCAGCAGUGGGGAAUCUUGCACAAUGGAGGAAACUCUGAUGCAGCGAUGCCGCGUGAGUGAAGAAGGCCUUUGGGUUGUAAAGCUCUUUUGUAGGGGAAGAUAAUGACUGUACCCUAAGAAUAAGGUCCGGCUAACUUCGUGCCAGCAGCCGCGGUAAUACGAAGGGACCUAGCGUAGUUCGGAAUUACUGGGCGUAAAGCGCGCGUAGGCCGUUGAGUUAGUUAAUUGUGAAAUCCCAAAGCUUAACUUUGGAACUGCAAUUAAAACUGCUCGACUAGAGUUUGAUAGAGGAAAGCGGAAUACAUAGUGUAGAGGUGAAAUUCGUAGAUAUUAUGUAGAACACCAGUUGCGAAGGCGGCUUUCUGGAUCAACACUGACGCUGAGGCGCGAAAGUAUGGGUAGCAAAGAGGAUUAGAUACCCUCGUAGUCCAUACCAUAAACGAUGAUUGCUAGAUGUUGGAAAUUUAUUUUCAGUAUCGCAGCUAACGCAUUAAGCAAUCCGCCUGGGGAGUACGACCGCAAGGCUAAAACUCAAA
rnacentral:rRNA from 1 species